rnacentral:rRNA from 1 species
UUUGAUCCUGGCUCAGGAUGAACUCUUGCGGCGUGCUUAACACAUGCAAGUCGAACGGGGGUUACUUCGUGGCGAUCUUCGGAUCAAAGCGAUAUAACUCGAGUGGCGGACGGGUGAGUAACACGUGAGUAACCUGCCUUUUGCUGGGGAAUAACUGUGGGAAACCAUGGCUAAUACCGCAUGUUGUGCAUGACAGGCAUCUGUUAUGUAUGAAAGGAGAAAUCCGGCAGAAGAUGGGCUCGCGUCCGAUUAGGUAGUUGGUGGGGUAACGGCCUACCAAGCCCGCGAUCGGUAGCCGGACUGAGAGGUCGAACGGCCACAUUGGGACUGAGACACGGCCCACACUCCUACGGGAGGCAGCAGUGGGGAAUAUUGGGCAAUGGGCGAAAGCCUGACCCAGCGACGCCGCGUGAAGGACGAAGGCCUACGGGUUGUAAACUUCUUUGGGGAGGGACGAAAAUGACGGUACCUCCAGAACAAGCCACGGCUAACUACGUGCCAGCAGCCGCGGUAAUACGUAGGUGGCAAGCGUUAUCCGGAUUUACUGGGUGUAAAGGGCGCGCAGGCGGCCCCAAAAGUCAGAUGUGAAAGAUCAAGGCUUAACUUUGACAUGUCAUCUGAAACUUUGGGACUUGAGUAUCAGAGGGGAAAGCGGAAUUCCUGGUGGAGCGGUAAAAUGCGCAGAGAUCAGGAGGAACACCGGUGGCGAAGGCGGCUUUCUGGCUGACAACUGACGCUGAGGCGCGAAAGCGUGGGGAGCAAACAGAAUUAGAUACCCUGGUAGUCCACGCCGUAAACGGAUGAUUACUGGGGGUAGGGGGUAUCGACUCCCUCUGUGCCGAAGCUAACGCGAUAAGUAAUCCACCUGGGGAGUACGGCCGCAAGGCUAAAACUCAAAGGAAUUGACGGGGGCCCGCACAAGCAGUGGAGUAUGUGGUUUAAUUCGAUGCAACGCGAAGAACCUUACCAGGUCUUGACAUCCAAAGAAUCCUGAUGAAAGUCGGGAGUGCCUUAGGGAGCUUUGAGACAGGUGGUGCAUGGUUGUCAUCAGCUCGUGUCGUGAGAUGUUGGGUUAAGUCCCGCAACGAGCGCAACCCUUGCUAUUAGUUGCUAACAUUCAGAUGAGCACUCUAAUGGGACUGCCCGUGACAAGCGGGAGGAAGGUGGGGAUGACGUCAAAUCAUCAUGCCCUUUAUGAGCUGGGCUACACACGUGCUACAAUGGAUGGUACAGCGAGUCGCUAAACCGCGAGGUCAAGCUAAUCUCCUAAAGCCAUUCUCAGUCCGGAUUGCAGGCUGCAACUCGCCUGCAUGAAGCCGGAAUCGCUAGUAAUCGUGGAUCAGAAUGCCACGGUGAAUACGUUCCCGGGUCUUGUACUCACCGCCCGUCA